rnacentral:lncRNA from 1 species
UCUACUGGUGAGCACCAGGAUCCUCCCAGUAACCACACCAGCAGUCCCUGCCCAGCUAACCAGAGAGAGACACUCAUCCCUUCCAUGUCCCCCUUCCCGCUGUCGGCUCCAUGACACCAACCCGCAGGCGUUCUCCCCGAGCAGCAGCAAAGUGAAAGCAUUGUAAGGAGAAAACGUCAGGACUGAAUUACAGAGAUUAGGCAGAGGACAACGGAACAGGGGGAGUGACAGCCAGACAGGAUGAAAAGUAGCAGAGGAGGAAAGUUUAGAAGCCAUCAGGAUCUGAAACCAGUGAGCCAUAUUUCCCCCAAUUUGAUUUCGUCUCCCCUGGGAACUAUGAAGAAACGAAGAGGAAUUAUGAGCCAAGGAGCUGUGCAGACUGGAAAAAAAUCGUAUCCAAACUCAUCAAGCAAAUGGAAAGUCAGGACAGGCCCAAGAAAUCAGAUCCAACUGGGAAGCCCCGGAGGCAGCCAGCUAGUUAAACGUCAUGGACACUUGUUUGUGCUUCUCCUCCCAGCCCCACCUCAGGCAGACGGGCUGGGUUUGGUACCCAUCUGCAUCACGAAGGAACGUUGUAGUAUCAGGUUGUAUGAUACCCCAUACCCAUGUGUCAUGAACUUAGGGGCAUGACUCAGCCUUACCUACUGAUUCAUACGGGCUAGAAUAAGCUUCAUCCCAGGGAGACAGAAGAAUUUGAUACCCCUAC